rfam:Schistosoma mattheei strain Denwood, Zambia genome assembly, scaffold: SMTD_scaffold0012951
GAAGGUAACUAUACCACGUUGAAAACACCGGUUCUCCUCCGAUUAUCGAAGUUGGGCAUGAUCAGUACUUCCAUGGGUGACCGGGUGAGAAUACCGUGCAUCGUUGGUA